AGAAGGGACAAUACGUUCUAUUACUACAACAAACAGAGGGAAUGUGAUGACAAAGAAGUCCACAAAAGACGGGGUUUCACCAUGUUGGCCAAGCGGGUCUCGAACUCCUGGACUCAAGUGAUCCCAGCGACUCAGCCUCCCAGAGUUGAGAAGUUGAGAGGGGUCACAGACAAAAUGAGAGAUUUCCACAUUCUUGAUGAUGGUGAAUUGUCACACAAUCCAACCGUGCAGCUGGGAAUCCAACAGGCUAAGGAAAAAGGACACCAAAACGAAGAAGACACAGAGAAAAAGAUCUCAGUCUAAUUGAAAGAAAUUAAGAAGCCGUGAAAUACACUCUACUUUAUUCUGACACCGUGCUACAACUUCCAUUGAUGUAGAAUAUGUAAAAGGACGACACGAGAGCUACGACCCCAUUAUCUGAAAACGAAAUCGAACCUUAUAGUUCUCAAUGGGAACACCUUUUCACAUACCUGUUACUUUUCAUAUUUAUUAUCAUCCUUCGGUUUUCUGACAUCACUUCUUCAUAAAAGUACAUGCACACUUAAAAA
rnacentral:lncRNA from 10 species